UGGGGAAUUUUUCGCAAUGGGGGAAACCCUGACGAAGCAACGCCGCGUGGAGGAUGAAGGCCCUCGGGUCGUAAACUCCUGUCAAUCGGGAAGAAAGCAUAUCGGUCUAAUACACCGGUGUGUUGACGGUACCGGUGGAGGAAGCUCCGGCUAACUCUGUGCCAGCAGCCGCGGUAAUACAGAGGGAGCAAGCGUUGUUCGGAAUUACUGGGCGUAAAGGGCGCGUAGGCGGUUCGGCCAGUCCCACGUGAAAUCCCCCGGCUUAACCGGGGAACUGCGUGGGAAACUGUCGGACUUGAGAUCGGGAGAGGGAAGCGGAAUUCCGGGUGUAGCGGUGAAAUGCGCAGAUAUCCGGAGGAACAUCAGUGGCGAAGGCGGCUUCCUGGACCGAAACUGACGCUGAGGCGCGAAAGCUAGGGGAGCGAACGGGAUUAGAUACCCUGGUAGUCCACGCUGUAAACGAUGAGCACUCGAUGUGCGGGGUACGACCCCCCGCGUGUCACAGCUAACGCAUUAAGUGCUCCGCCUGGGGACUACGGUCGCAAGACUA
rnacentral:rRNA from 1 species